rnacentral:sRNA from 1 species
UAGUGUCAAUUUUGUGCAGAUGUUGG